UUCCUGUAAAAACUGCAUUUCUAUGCCAACUGCAAGAGAAUGCAAAUGUUGCCACUUUUAUGCUGACAUUGAGUCAAGGAUUGAAGAGGGAGGAGGAACCUGCAUCACCGAACAUGAGGGUUUUGCUGCAAAUUGCCUCAACAGAUGGGUUUUAGAGACAUCCUUCUAUGAAUAUCUAGAAGAAAAUGGACAACUGGAAGAAAAUGAAUUGGUACACAGUGUUUACAGGCAUCUUGCAUAUCGACGAUUUGUGAGGUGGAUAUGGCAACGUUUGGGGAAAAACAACAGGAAGAUAUUGUCAUCAUAUGUAGUAACAAAAAUUAGAACUGCUUUUCCAUCUCAGCAAUACUGUGGAUUUAAGUAUCCAACUGGAAUUUCCUAGAUAUGUCGCUCCACAAGUUCUGACUUUGGGACAUGUUGGUACGAGGAUGCAAUUGGGGCAGGACAGUUCACCAUGGCAGCCUCACGACUCUUUCUGGACUCACUCUUGAUCCCGGCUGGAGUUCUCGUUAAAGUGAAGGGCUGCAAUGUAUAUUCUGAAAAAGAGAAGAACAGUGUCAUUCGUGAUUUAUGAUUAAAAUCUUUAAAAAC